GUUGCCUGGGAAUUGGAUAGAAGUUCAGCCUCCCGGAUUCUUUAUUCACGUCAGUCUCACCCCUCCUGAUACCCCUAAGAAGCCGAGAGAGUUAGUCAAAGGGGGUACAGCCCCUUUGAACCAAGACACAACUUUUCCAGGAGGGUAAAGAUCAUAAUUAAAAAGGUAAAAUAUUUUGGUGGGCCUAAAAGCAGCCAUCCCCAUAGAAAGCGUUAAAGCUCAGAUAUACUACUUACUCCCCCUAUACUGAUCACCAAAUCUUAUCCCCCUAAUUCUACCAGGCCGUCCCAUGCCAGCAUGGGAGCGACCCUGCUAAUAUGAGUAAUAAGAGAGCCUCGCCUCUCUCCUUGCACGUGUGUAAAUCGGAACGGACCCCCCACCGAACCUUAACGGCCCCAAACAAAGAGGGUACUGAACAACAGACCAAACAACCAGAAAAACAUUCAAAUAACAACCGUUAACCCCACACAGGCGUGCCCCUAAGGAAAGACUAAAAGAAAGAGAAGGAACUCGGCAAACACAUAAAGCCUCGCCUGUUUACCAAAAACAUCGCCUCUUGCAAACUUAAUAAAUAAGAGGUCCCGCCUGCCCUGUGACUAUUAGUUUAACGGCCGCGGUAUUUUG
rnacentral:rRNA from 1 species